rnacentral:rRNA from 1 species
GUUAGGAAUUUUGGGCAAUGGGCGAAAGCCUGACCCAGCAACGCCGCGUGGGUGAUGAAGGCCUUCGGGUCGUAAAGCCCUUUUUCAGGGGAAGAUAAUGACGGUACCCUGAGAAUAAGCCCCGGCUAACUACGUGCCAGCAGCCGCGGUAAUACGUAGGGGGCAAGCGUUGUCCGGAUUUAUUGGGCGUAAAGCGCGUGUAGGCGGCCAAGUGUGUCGUGCGUGAAAUCUCCCGGCUUAACUGGGAGGGGCCGUGCGAAACUGCCUGGCUUGAGUUCGGUAGGGGGAAUUGGAAUUCCGGGUGUAGUGGUGGAAUACGUAGAUAUCCGGAGGAACACCAGUGGCGAAGGCGGAUUCCUGGGCCGAUACUGACGCUGAGACGCGAAAGCGUGGGGAGCGAUCCGGAUUAGAAACCCCGGUAGUCC